rnacentral:rRNA from 1 species
UACGUAGGGUGCGAGCGUUGUCCGGAUUUAUUGGGCGUAAAGGGCUCGUAGGCGGCCUGUUGCGUCUGCCGUGAAAUUCUGUGGCUUAACCUCGGACGUGCGGUGGAUACGGGCAGGCUAGAGUCCGGUUGGGGAGACUGGAAUUCCUGGUGUAGCGGUGGAAUGCGCAGAUAUCAGGAGGAACACCGGUGGCGAAGGCGGGUCUCUGGGCCGGUACUGACGCUGAGGAGCGAAAGCGUGGGGAGCGAACAGGAUUAGAAACCCCAGUAGUCC